UGGGGGAUAUUGCACAAUGGGCGAAAGCCUGAUGCAGCGACGCCGCGUGGGGGAUGAAGGCCUUCGGGUUGUAAACUUCUUUUGCUCUGAACAAGGCGCACCAUGGGGUGUGUUGAGUGUAGGGGUUGAUUAGCGCCGGCUAACUACGUGCCAGCAGCCGCGGUAAUACGUAGGGCGCGAGCGUUGUCCGGAAUUAUUGGGCGUAAAGGGCUUGUAGGUGGCUGGUUGCGUCUGUCGUGAAAGCUCAUGGCUUAACUGUGGGUUUGCGGUGGGUACGGGCUGGCUUGAGUGCAGUAGGGGAAGCUGGAAUUCCUGGUGUAGCGGUAGAAUGCGCAGAUAUCAGGAGGAAUACCGGUGGCGAAGGCGGGUCUCUGGGCUGUUACUGACACUGAGGAGCGAAAGCAUGGGGAGCGAACAGG
rnacentral:rRNA from 1 species